CCGAGGAAUUGGUGCGAUCCUGUAAGGUAACGUACCACUGACUUCAUUUCGUCGCUACGCGGUCCUGCUCAGUUCCGAGUUAGACGCGGCUGGUUAAAGAGAUUUUAUAUUAUUUUCCUUCGACGAUGAGCGAAAAAAAAGAAAUAAUUCAUGUCACACCUCCAAUGGAACUGGAUUCCGUAGAAAAUCAUGAUCCCUACCAGACGGAGCUAGCUGCGCUGCAUCUGACGCUGCAGCGUUUAAGUAGAGAGGUGGCUGCAAUAAGGGCGAGCGGGGGAGCCCCCUCAGUCACAAAUACGCCCGCUGCCGCCGCCGCCGCCGUCGCUGAUCGAACAACGAC